rnacentral:tRNA from 1 species
GCCUCUAUAGCUCAAUGGUAGAGCAACCGCCCUGUAAGCGGUCGAUGGUAGUUCGAUCCUGACCUGGAGGCACCA